UUUGUCCUACGGGAGGCAGCAGUGGGGGAUAUUGCACAAUGGGCGCAAGCCUGAUGCAGCGACGCCGCGUGAGCGAAGAAGUAUUUCGGUAUGUAAAGCUCUAUCAGCAGGGAAGAAAAUGACGGUACCUGACUAAGAAGCUCCGGCUAAAUACGUGCCAGCAGCCGCGGUAAUACGUAUGGAGCAAGCGUUAUCCGGAUUUACUGGGUGUAAAGGGAGCGUAGGCGGCUCUGUAAGUCUGAUGUGAAAAUUUGGGGCUCAACCCCAAACGUGCAUUGGAAACUGCAGGGCUUGAGUGCCGGAGG
rnacentral:rRNA from 1 species